rnacentral:rRNA from 1 species
GACGAACGCUGGCGGCGUGCCUAACACAUGCAAGUCGAACGGAGACAAUAGCAAUAUUGUCUUAGUGGCGGACGGGUGAGUAACGCGUGAGCAAUCUGCCCUUCGGAGGGGGACAACAGCUGGAAACGGCUGCUAAUACCGCAUAACGUAUAUUGAAGGCAUCUUCGAUAUACCAAAGAUUCAUCGCCGAAGGAUGAGCUCGCGUCUGAUUAGCUAGUUGGUGAGGUAAUGGCUCACCAAGGCUUCGAUCAGUAGCCGGACUGAGAGGUUGAACGGCCACAUUGGGACUGAGAUACGGCCCAGACUCCUACGGGUGGCUG